UUAAGUUUAAUUGCUUAUGUGUCCUUGUAAUCUGACACUUGUAUUACCUUACACUCAUUUUCUAAGAUUUUAAACUAAACUUAGGCGUACAAUUACUGAAUCAAAUGUUCACAAAGUGGAAUUGAGAUUAGGAGUUCUGUAUUGGUGAGACGACGGCGUAAACAAAUGGAGGCGUUAGAGAACAAGGAAAUAUUCAUCUAGAACAGCUUUUGAUAGCGUUUAUUCAGCCUGCAUUUUGCAUCUUAGCUAAAUAUAGUUAAGAUCGUGUUUAUGCAAACUGACUGCUGCGGAUGUAAACAUGCUGUAAAUGUUGACAUCGUGAACUGUUGGGGCGGAACAGAGAAUAUGUGCGAAGGUUUUGGACCAUUUCAUAAGAUCUACAUCGGUCGUGCAGAUGUGUUCCAGAUAUAGUACAGGUGAUAUUAUUUGCUGAAUUUUCUGUCAUUCCAACGGUCACGUUUGAAAACAAUUUUGUUUCUUUAUUGUAAUAUUUUCUUUUCGCGUCAAAAUUUGUGUGCCCAGGUGAUCAGUUUGACGACUUCAAGCGAGUAUUUCUUAUAUACAUAUAUUGUUCUUUUUAAUUUGUUUCUUCGUGUGUUAUGUUCAUCUUUUUAUAUUUUCAUCGUUUUUUUUAUUUUUUAUUAAUCGUUGCGUUUAUAAGUCCCUCACAUCUAUACUAAUGCGUUUGAGGCCUACAAUUGUUGAUUUAAAUGUCUACGAAAUGGAAAUGUUGGAGUGAAGCGAAAACAAAGAUACACUGACUUGACUACUAACUAUAGGUAAAUUAAUAAUAAUCUAGUUAGGCCAUAGUAUAGUAUUAAUACUAUUAUGCGAUGAUUGGUGUCUAAAUCUCGAAUCGAAGACUCACGAAAGUGUGGCAAAACGAAGGCAGUCGAGGAUAAACAAGGUAAUUGUAAUCUAUAAUCUGAAACAGCUUCUUAUAUUCUCCAUAGCAUAGCUCUAAUUCCAUACUACUGGGUCCCUGUGCUAAGAAACGCACACAAUACGUACAUUUGUUGUGAGUGCGUUCAAAUUUAUACUUUAAAUAGACUCCCAGUGUAUCCUCCCGUUUUAUAUCUUACACAAAUAAUUAUUUAUUCUAACGCAAUUACCAAAUGAUCUGGCUUGCUUUACAGGUUUCUCGUUUACUUUCAGGCGAUUUAUAAGUUCUCUAACAGUUAUGUUUACUAAUGCAGUUAGUCUAAUAUUAGGCCUACAUUUAUUGAUUUGAGGUGGAAUAGGACCAAAAAUUCUGGAAAUGUUGGCAUCGAGAUCUGCUUGAGGAUAUGCGGCUAGAUGAACAUUUAUUUUGUUAAGUAUACAAACUAUUAAAUUGUCACUUUCGCAUUUCUUAAAACCGAUACCCUCGUAAUAUUUCCAUCGACCACUGAGACUAUUUUUAUUGGCGAACGUAAUAUGUAAAAUAUAUAAAAAAAAACGUUUAAUUCACUCUUAAUAAAAAGUAGGCCAGACCCUAUUUUUUAUUUCAUGGCAAUUGAAAUUGCCAAUUUUUCCACAACUAAUUUACCCUCCAAUUGUAUGUUGCAGUAAUGUGCAUGUGCAGAUGAAAGUGGAUAGGAGGUGAAUCUUCAGCAUAACUGGGCAAACAUUCAGAAUGGUUACAGAAAAAUUCGCCGCGGGAAAUUUUGCCGCAAGAAUUUUCACCGCAUAGGAAAAAUCGCCGCAAUAGAAUUUUGCUGUAAAACAAGUAUUUAUGAUAAAAACAGCAAAAUGCUCUCGCGGCGAAAUUUCCGGACACGAUUCAGAACAAUAACUGAAAAAAUUUAAAAUCUGUGGUUGUAUUGUUUCAAUGAGAAUGGAAAACUGUUUUCAUCUGUGAAGCAAGGUGAGCGCCUUUCCGAUGCGUCUCAAGAUAAAAGGAAAGGUAUAAAUUGUCGGAGUGUGAAAUUUAAAUGUAUUCAUUGGAAGCUGAAAGCUGUUGUGAAAUUAAUGUAGGACUCUAUUCCACUGAGACUAAAGUUCUGUCCGGAAAACGGGAUUAGUGUAAGCGUACUGAGGCGACAACGGAUCUCCCAAAUUCAUCGUCUGUUGGUUGAGGAGUUUUUAUAAUUGCGCGCAAGAAGACAAUGGUUCCAAAAUAGAAUAGUGAAUUGCGUUGUGGAUUGGAAGGUCAAAGAAAAGAGACAUGAGGGAAGCACGUUGACAAAGAAGUAAAUGGUCGUUCCAUCAUAGUUCUUUGAAAUCAUUUAAAUGUGAAUUAUUUAAAUCGUGUGUAUUUCAAUUUUUUCAUAUCAAAUCUUGUCGACGGCCCUAGUGGCGUAUCUACGUGAAAUGGCGCCAUGAAGUUUAAAAAUGCGCCCCUUGGAUCAUUGACUGGCAAUUUCAACUAUUUGUCGAAGAGAUUUGCUCCCAUACCCUCUAUACGCACUUCGCCCCAGGUUUUAUGAACAAAUUAACGAUCCACUCUGUGGCUGGGCAAUGUCUGGUGAUUAGGAAAUGCGAGCUCUACAUUCUAAUUAAUAGCUCUGAACUAGAUGGGUUUCUGAAUGUUUGGGGAUAUAUAAUUGAUUAUUUGUUUGAAGUUGUUUUUUUACUCUUGCAUUCGAGAGAAUGUCUAUGAAAGGCUCGUUUAGAAAGCCUGAUAGAGGUCUAAAUGAUUCUUGCAGUAUAUUUUAAUAUUCAUGCUUGCUCGUAAAA